rnacentral:rRNA from 1 species
GAAUUUUCCGCAAUGGGCGAAAGCCUGACGGAGCCAGACCGCGUGAGGGAAGAAGGCCCUUGGGUUGUAAACCUCUUUUCUCAGGGAAGAAAAAAAUGACGGUACCUGAGGCAUCAGCCUCGGCUAACUCCGUGCCAGCAGCCGCGGUAAGACGGAGGAGGCAAGCGUUAUCCGGAAUUAUUGGGCGUAAAGCGUCCGUAGGUGGUUAUUCAAGUCUGCUGUCAAAACCCAGGGCUUAACUCUGGAUCGGCAGUGGAAACUGAGUGACUAGAGAGCGGCAGGGGCAGAGGGAAUUCCCGGUGUAGCGGUGAAAUGCGUAGAGAUCGGGAAGAACACCGGUGGCGAAAGCGCUCUGCUGGGCCGCGACUGACACUCACAGGACGAAAGCUAGGGGAGCGAAUGGG